rnacentral:rRNA from 1 species
UACGUAGGGUGCGAGCGUUAAUCGGAAUUACUGGGCGUAAAGCGUGCGCAGGCGGUUCGUUGUGUCUGCUGUGAAAUCCCCGGGCUCAACCUGGGGAUGGCAGUGGAAACUGGCGAGCUUGAGUGUGGCAGAGGGGGGUGGAAUUCCGCGUGUAGCAGUGAAAUGCGUAGAGAUGCGGAGGAACACCGAUGGCGAAGGCAACCCCCUGGGCUGACACUGACGCUCAGGCACGAAAGCUAGGGUAGCGAACGGG